AUUGAACGCUGGCGGAAUGCUUUACACAUGCAAGUCGAGCGGCAGCGCGGGGGCAACUCUGGCGGCGAGCGGCGAACGGGUGAGUAAUGCAUCGGAACAUGUCCGGUUGUGGGGGAUAACCUGGCGAAAGCCAGGCUAAUACCGCAUGAGCUCGAGAGAGGAAAGCGGGGGACCGUAAGGCCUCGCGCGACCGGGUUGGCCGAUGUCCGAUUAGCUAGUUGGUGGGGAAAGGCUUACCAAGGCGAUGAUCGGUAGCUGGUCUGAGAGGAUGAUCAGCCACACUGGGACUGAGACACGGCCCAGACUCCUACGGGAGGCAGCAGUGGGGAAUUUUGGACAAUGGGGGCAACCCUGAUCCAGCCAUUCCGCGUGAGUGAAGAAGGCCU
rnacentral:rRNA from 1 species